ensembl:snRNA U6 U6 spliceosomal RNA
GUUCUCUCUUCAACAGCAUAUAUAUUAAAACUGGAAUGAUAAAGAGAAGAUUAACAUGGUCCCUAAGCAAGGAUGAAAUACAUAUUUGUGAAAUGCUCCACAUAUUU